UUCGUUCACGUUAGUAAACCUUUGUAAAAUUAUACCGUAAACUAGUUUGUUUACUAGUUUCUUUCCGUAUUAUUUUUAACAAAUACUUGUCUCCUGUGGCUUUAUGCCCUCUAUUGUGUUGUCAAGAAGGCUUACACACUUGUCUAAAGCCAGAAGAGGCUCUCUACGAUGGUCCUAUGGUUGCAGUUGGAAGCACAAAGUCAAAGACUUGCCAUAGUCUGUCAGAAACCCUUUUAAGUCUUUAAACUCUCUCUCUUGUGAAGCUGUGGCUUAUAUUCUCUAUUGUGUUGUCGAGAAGGUUUGCACACUAUUAUGAAACCAGAAGAGGCUCACAUCUACCUCUACGAUGACCCUAUGGUUGCAGUUGGAAGCACAAAGUCAAAGACUUGCCAUAGUCUGUCAGAAACCCAGUUCAAAACAUCACGACCAUCCAACCAUCAUAGAGGUAGAUGAGAGCCUCUUCUGGCUUCAUGUGCAAGCCUUCUCAACACAACACCAUAGAGAAGGCCACAGCUAGCUAGCUAGCUAGGCUAUAAAAAGCUUCAUAUAAUAGUAGAUAGUACAUGGGCGUGGACGGCCACGCCUAUAAUUAAUUACAUGCAAUAGGUACCUGGUCUCGAGGCUAUGCUGCAUGCUACUGAUUGAGGUGUGCAAUUGUGCUGGAGCGAAGCUACAAGCCAGUAUGUGGAACAAGUGUGUUGUAGGUGCCUUUCCUCCUGCUUCUGUAACUUUGGUUCCGCAACUGAUCACAACUUUAUAGUUGGCUAAUGUUGUUCAAGUAGGUCUAUUUUAAAAUAGCUAUCUAGCUGUUCCCAUUGUUGGUCUAGAUUUUAUGCUACUUGAAAGUGUCAUGUGGUUUUCAGCAUGUAAGUGUGUAAUAUAGAUCAUAAAAAUCAUUGACUAAUGAGAGUUAGUGUCUCAGUUUAUGUUUAAAUCAGAAACUUACUCCUAUGCUAUAGAAUCUUCACCUUCAGAGUCUCCAAAGAUGUCACACGUGAGUUGGUUGACUUCAACGUCCAAGUGACUACCAUCGAUAUCACUGCUGACGUCCGACUGUUCAUCACUCGCACUGUCAAUGUCUUCUUGCUCUGCUGCUAGAGCUUCAACAGGGAGUUACAGCGUGAUGAGGAGCAUCCUGUUUUACAGCCACAGCCUUUCCGAACGAGCGCCACUUGUUCUCUGAUUCUAGACACAUUACUUUCACUGUCCCAAUCUAUCAUGAGGGUGUUUGGAUCAGGCUUUUUCCAGCCGAAGUCUUCUAGUGGUGGAUGUACAAUGUGGUUUGAUGCUGCUUGGUUCCAUACAGAUGAAACCCAGCUACUCCUCUUCCAAUGUCGAAGUAAUGUUUCAUGCGAGGGUGUCAUGUCCUCCUCGUACUGAAUUCUCGCCCAUAUCCUGUCUCGUAUAAGGUCAAGCCAUUGCUCAUGUCGUUGGUGAUUGCUAGCUGACUGGACUGAGUUGAACAAGGUCAUUGGGGUUGGAAAUGAAGCCAAGUCUGGGUCGUUCUUGAAGCUCGUCAAAAGAGCUGUUAAUGACAUUCUGUCUCCACUUGGGAGGUAUUAUCAUGUCUGCUGAGAAGCCACUGCAGCUGUGAUCAUCUGGAAUCUGAUUGAUCUCAUCUCUAUGAAGUCGUUCAAAGUACUUCGGGCUGUCCUGUUGGCAGUUUGGAUCGUCAAACAGUAAAAAUGAAGCAAGCGACUCAUGUUUUCUGCUGAUGGUCUGGUGAUGUACUCUUUGCAGUCCUUGUUGAUGCACAUUUCGUGUGCCUCAUCAAUACCGAUGGAAUGACAGGCUCAACCGAGGAUGCUAACAGUGAACAUGCUUUUUUUCAGGUUUCUGUGAGCGUUCGCUUGCUUUUCUGAUGGAGGAACAUUCUGCAAGAGUGCAGAUACUUGUUGUAGGAAGUCACUGGGAGCUUGUUUGGAGAGAAAGUAUCUCAUCAGUACUCUGUAUAGGGCCUCCCAUGAUUCAAGAAGAAACCGGUGGGUGAGAAGCUAAUAUCAUUGACAUCGCUUACAUCCCUCCUACAAAGCAAGCAGAUGCAGCUUUCUGGCUGUACAUUGAGAGAAGGCUCAGCGGCUUGGAGUUGCUGCAGCAGUGAAGGAUCUUUCCAGGAUUUGGGAUGGGAAUACUUGGAUAGGUCUUUCUUCUUACAUAGAGCACAUUCUUCGCAUGAUCGGCCUGGAUGUACUGCUGAAGUUACAUGACGCGACUCUCUUCCAGUAUCUCUAGCAGAUCUCAUUAUUCUGUAUUAAAUUUGUUGUGUUGACAAUUUUGUGUGCAUUGUUUUCAUAGCUUACCAUAACUUGGACAAGUGGUCAACUCUUGUAAACCAUGUGUGCUGUGUAAACUAUGCCCACUUUGACAUGCUGUAAAGUGAUGAAUAUACGUCAAUAGAACAGCCCAA